rnacentral:tRNA from 1 species
GCCCUUAUAGCUCAGUGGUAGAGCGCGUCACUCGUACAGCGCAAUGCGAUAUGACGAGGUCCAUCGUUCAAUCCGGUGUGGGGGCA